rnacentral:rRNA from 1 species
GAUGAACGCUAGCUACAGGCUUGACACAUGCAAGUCGCGGGGCAGCAUGGGGGUUGCUUGCAAUCCCCGAUGGCGACCGGCGCACGGGUGAGUAACGCGUAUCCAACCUGCCCUUCACCACGGGAUAACCCGGCGAAAGUCGGACUAAUACCGUAUGUUGUCCAUUGACGGCAUCCGAUUUGGACGAAAGGUUUGGCGGUGAAGGAUGGGGAUGCGUCCGAUUAGCUGGACGGCGGGGUGACGGCCCACCGUGGCGACGAUCGGUAGGGGUUCUGAGAGGAAGGUCCCCCACACUGGAACUGAGACACGGUCCAGACUCCUACGGGAGGCAGCAGUGAGGAAUAUUGGUCAAUGGGCGUAAGCCUGAACCAGCCAAGUAGCGUGCAGGAUGACGGCCCUAUGGGUUGUAAACUGCUUUUAUGCGGGGAUAAAGUGGCCCACGUGUGGGUUUUUGCAGGUACCGCAUGAAUAAGGACCGGCUAAUUCCGUG